GCUCCGGUCCGCUCUAGGGAGCCACGCAGGGCGCUGGAGCAGCCGCGGAGGUCUGGGCGGGGGCGGAGCUCUCGCUGCCUCUGGUAGCUGUCCUGGCAGCUGCCAGGGCUCUGCUUCCUCUGAGCUGCAGCCGGUCCGGAGACUUCUGACAAGAAAGAAAGGCGCUUGUUGUUCUUGUUCUUGGUAUUAUGGAGUUCAAGAAGACUUCAUGGAAGGCUGGGAGAAGACGUAUUAGGUGCUACUAUUUCAGUCACCAUCCUAACUCUAGAGUGUGGGUCCGAUAUUAUAUAACUCACUUUAUAUAAUCUGGAUGUUACAAGGUACCAAGGAAGAGUCUAUUCUCCCCUUAGCUUGAUACCUUAAAAGACUUCCAGGACAACACUGAAUAGGAAGAGUGAGAAGGGGCAUCCUUGUCUUGUUCCUUAUCUUAAGGGGAAGGUACCUGCUUUCUCAAAACUAAGUAUGGUGUUAGCUGUAUGUUCUUUUGUAAAUGUUCUUUAUCAAUUUGAGGAAGUUCUCCUAUAUUGCUCGUUUGCUGAGAGUAUUUUAUCACGAAUGUGUGUUAGAUUUUGUCAAAUGCAUUUUCUGCAUUUAUCAAUAUGUUGUUAGGUGCCACUGAGUCAAUUUUUAACUCAUAGUGCCCCAAUGUAACAGAAUAGGACUACCCCACAGCGUUCCUAGGCUGUAAUCUUUACAGGAGCUGAUAACCAGGUCUUUCUCCCAUGGAUCUACUGGAUGGGUUUGAACUGCCAGCCUUUUGGUUAGCAGCCGAGCACUUAACUGUUGUGCUACCGGGGAUCCUUAUCUGUUCGCAUAGUCAUAUGAUUUUUCUUCUUCAGUCUAUCGAUGUGAUGGAUUACACUGAUUUCAAGAAAUUGAGGAUCUAAAUAUAUGGACAGAUAUUCCAUGUUCAUGAAUUAAAAGACUCAAUGUUGUUAGGAUGUCAGUUCUUGCCAAUUUGAUCCAUAGAUUCUACCUAAUCUCAACCAAAACUUUAACAUAUUAUUCUGUGGAUAUUGACAAAAUAAUUCAAAAGUUUAUAUAGAAAAGACAUAGACAAACCAGCACAAUACUGAAGAAGAAGAACAAAGUUGGAGGACUGACACUACCCAACUUCAAGGCUUAUUAUAAAGCUACAGUAACCAAGACAGUGUGGUAUUGAUGAAAGAACAAAGAAAUAAAUGAAACAGAGUGGAGAGCACAAAAAUAAUCCCACGUGAAUGGUAAAAUGAUCUUUGAUAAAGGAGGAAAGACAAUUUAAUGGAGAAAGGAUAAUCCUUUCAACAAUUGGUGCCGAAAAAAUGAAUGUAGAUACUGAAUUUACGUCUUUCACAAAAAUCAAUUCAAAAUGGAUCAAGUAUCUGAAUGUAAAACGCAAAACUAUAAAACUUCUAGAAGGUAAACAUAGAAAAAAUCUAGGUGAUGUUGGGUUUGAGAAUGAGUUUUUAGAUACAACACCAAAAGAAUGAUCCAUGAAAGAAAAACAUUAAUAAAUUGGACAUCAUUUAGCAUUUAAAAUUUUUUGCUCUACAAAAAACACUGUUAAGAGAGUGAAAAGACAAGUCGCAAUUUGGGAGAAAAUAUUUGCAAAACAUGUUUCUCUAAAGGACUUGUAUUCAAAAUAUACAGAGAACUCUUAACAAUAAGAAAACAAAUAACUCAUGUACAUAAUGGGCAAAAGAUCUGAACAGAAACCUUACCAAAGAAGAUAUACAGAAGACAAGUAAGCAUAUGAAGAGAUGCUCAACAUCAUAUGUCAUUAAAAAAAAGCAGCAAUGAGAUAUCACAUAGCUGAAAUCCAAAACACCAACAACACCAAAUGCUGGCAAGGAUGUGAAGCAAUAGGAACACACAUUACUUGCCAGUAGGAAUGCAAAAUGCUACAGCCACUUUGGAAGUCAUUUUGGCAGUUUCUAACAAAGCUAAACAUAGUCUUACCAUUAAGAUCCAGCAAUCAGACUCCUAGUAUUUAACCAAAUGAUUGUAAAACUUACGUCCACACAUAAACCUGCACACAAAUAUCUAUAGCAGCUCU